AUUGAACGCUGGCGGCGUGCUUAACACAUGCAAGUCGAACGCGAAAGAGGAUUUAUCCUUGAGUAAAGUGGCGCACGGGUGAGUAACGCGUGGAUUAUCUACCAUAAAGUUUAGAAUAACAGUUGGAAACGAUUGCUAAUACUAAAUGUGCAAGGGAUUGUAAAGGUUGCUUAGGCAAUCGCUUUAUGAUGAGUCCGCGUCCCAUUAGCUAGUUGGUGGUGUAAUGGACUAUCAAGGCUUUGAUGGGUAUCUGGUCUGAGAGGAUGACCAGACACACUGGAACUGGAACACGGUCCAGACUCCUAGGGGAGGCGGCAGUGGGGAAUCUUGCGCAAUGGGCGAAAGCCUGACGCAGCGACGCCGCGUGAGGGAUGAAGGUUCUCGGAUCGUAAACCUCUGUCAGAAGGGAAGAAGUUAUAUAUAAUGAAUAAGUAUAUAUAUUGACGGUACCUUCAAAGGAAGCACCGGCUAACCCCGUGCCAGCAGCCGCCGUAA
rnacentral:rRNA from 1 species